GACAGAGGGGGCAAGCGUUGCUCGGAAUUACUGGGCGUAAAGGGCGCGUAGGCGGGAUGGCAAGUCGGUCGUGAAAUCCCUCGGCUCAACUGAGGAUCGUCGAUCGAUACUGCCGUUCUUGAGGAUUGCAGAGGAGACUGGAAUUCCCGGUGUAGCGGUGAAAUGUGUAGAGAUCGGGAGGAACACCGGUGGCGAAGGCAGCCUCCUGGGCCAACACUGACGCUCAUGCACGAAAGCGUGGGGAGCAAACAGG
rnacentral:rRNA from 1 species